rnacentral:miRNA from 1 species
CAUAUGUAUAUAUGUGUGUGUGUAUGUAUAUGUAUGUGUAUAUAUAUGUAUAUAUAGAGAGAGACAGACAGACAGGCAGAGACA